rnacentral:lncRNA from 1 species
GCCAGUCGUACAAACUUUCAAAUAACUUUUACUCAUAAUGCAUACUAGAAUUUUUAUAUUAUAUACAAUUUCACUUUGUGUAUAUAUACAAUGUAAAACAUUUUAAAAUGAAAGCUAAUGUUCUCCUUUGAACUAAUACUUAUUGAACUCUUUACGUACGAUAUCGUUCAACCAUUUAAUAGGGUUUUGAAGAAGACAAACUCAGAACAAUCACUGCUGCCGAAUCCUUUAACUUACCAAUUAAAAAAUUAGGAAAAAAUGUGCAUCUUUAAAAUCAUAUACAUAUAUAUAACAUUAAAGGGUUGGGCAUUUAGCCUAUAGUCGACAGACUAAGUCAAUACUCUAUCCGAAUGUAUUCUUUAUCAUGCUUCAAUUAUAAUAGUGAUGGAAAUUAUUUGAAGUACAAAUUCCUCUAGUGUCCAAAUUCUACAUAAAAACGUAAUCCGAACAUAUGAACAACUGAGCAUUUAAAAGC